rnacentral:tRNA from 2 species
GCAGGGGUAGCCAAGCGGUCAACGGCGCAAGGUUCAGGGCCUUGUGGGGAAGCCCUUCGUGGGUUCAAAUCCCACCCCCUGCA